GCAGCUCGAUGUGAUUGUUGCUGAUCUGGAUGGAGGGACGGUCACCAUCCCUGAGUGUGUGCACAUUCCACCCUUGCCAGAGCCACUGCAGAGUCAGACGCACAGUGUGCUGAGCAUGGUCCUGGACCCGGAGCUGGAGUUGGCUGACCUCGCCUUCCCUCCGCCCACGACAUCCACCUCCUCCCUGAAGAUGCAGGACAAGGAGCUGCGCGCGGUCUUCCUGCGGCUAUUCGCUCAGCUGCUGCAGGGCUAUCGCUGGUGCCUGCACGUCGUGCGCAUCCACCCGGAGCCUGUCAUCCGCUU
rnacentral:lncRNA from 1 species